rnacentral:rRNA from 1 species
UAAUACGUAGGGGGCAAGCGUUGUCCGGAUUUAUUGGGCGUAAAGAGCGUGUAGGCGGCUUGGUAGGUCUUGCGUCAAAACCUGAGGCUCAACCUCAGUUCGCGUGGGAAACCAUCUAGCUAGAGUCCGGAAGAGGAGAACGGAAUUCCCAGUGUAGCGGUGAAAUGCGCAGAUAUUGGGAAGAACACCAGUGGCGAAGGCGGUUCUCUGGGACGGUACUGACGCUGAGACGCGAAAGCGUGGGGAGCGAACAGGAUUAGAUACCCUGGUAGUCCACGCCGUAAACGAUGGGCGCUAGGUGUGGGAGGUGUCGACUCCUUCCGUGCCGAAGCUAACGCAUUAAGCGCCCCGCCUGGGGAGUACGGCCGCAAGGCUA